rnacentral:rRNA from 1 species
UCGAGGGGUACAGGGUAGCAAUACCGCUGACGACCGGCGCACGGGUGAGUAACGCGUAUCUAAUCUACCUGUAACUCGGGGAUAGCCUUUUGAAAGAAAGAUUAAUACCCGGUAAUACUGAGCGUGAGCAUUCAUAUUCAGUUAAAGAUUUAUCGGUUACAGAUGAGGAUGCGUCCCAUUAGAUAGUUGGUAGGGUAACGGCCUACCAAGUCAGCGAUGGGUAGGGGUUCUGAGAGGAAGGUCCCCCACAUUGGAACUGAGACACGGUCCAAACUCCUACGGGAGGCAGCAGUGAGGAAUAUUGGUCAAUGGGCGAAAGCCUGAACCAGCCAAGUCGCGUGAAGGAUGACUGCCCUAUGGGUUGUAAACUUCUUUUUUAGGGGAAUAAAGUGAGUCACGUGUGACUUUUUGUAUGUACCCUACGAAUAAGCAUCGGCUAACUCCGUGCCAGCAGCCGCGGUAAUACGGAGGAUGCGAGCGUUAUCCGGAUUUAUUGGGUUUAAAGGGUGCGUAGGCCGACUUUUAAGUCAGCGGUGAAAUUUUCCGGCUUAACCGGGACAUUGCCGUUGAAACUGAUAGUCUUGAGUGUAAAUGAGGUAGGCGGAAUGUGUAGUGUAGCGGUGAAAUGCUUAGAUAUUACACAGAACUCCGAUUGCGAAGGCAGCUUACUGGCAUACAACUGACGCUGAGGCACGAAAGUGUGGGUAUCAAACAGGAUUAGAUACCCUGGUAGUCCACACAGUAAACGAUGAUAACUAGCCGUUGGCGAUACACAGUCAGUGGCAGAGCGAAAGCAUUAAGUUAUCCA